rnacentral:tRNA from 1 species
GGGGUUAUAGCUCAGUGUUAGAGCACAUGCUUAGUCCUGGGUUCAAUUCCUGGUAACUCCA